GACGAACGCUGGCGGCGUGCUUAACACAUGCAAGUCGAACGGAAAGGCCAUGCUUUUGUGGGGUGCUCGAGUGGCGAACGGGUGAGUAACACGUGAGUAACCUGCCCUUGACUUUGGGAUAACUUUAGGAAACUGGGGCUAAUACAGGAUAGGAGCUCCUGCUGCAUGGUGGGGGUUGGAAAGUUUCGGCGGUUGGGGAUGGACUAGCGGCUUAUCAGCUUGUUGGUGGGGUAGUGGCUUACCAAGGCUUUGAAGGGUAGCCGGCCUGAGAGGGUGACCGGCCACAUUGGGACUGAGAGACGGCCCAGACGCCUACGGGAGGCAGCAGUGGGGAGUAUUGCACAAUGGGCGGAAGCCUGAUGCAGCAACGCCGCGUGCGUGAUGACGGCCUUCGGGUUGUAAACCACUUUCGCCUGUGACGAAGCGUGAGUGACGGUAAUGGGUAAAGAAGCACCGGCUAACUACGUG
rnacentral:rRNA from 1 species